GACGAACCGUGCGAACGUUAUUCGGAAUCACUGGGCUUAAAGCGCGUGUAGGCGGAUCAUCACGUCGGUCGCUGAAAGCCCCCGGCUCAACCGGGGAACGGGCGCCGAUACGAGUGAUCUGGAGGCGGGUAGGGGGAGCCGGAACUGCCGGUGGAGCGGUGAAAUGCGUUGAGAUCGGCAGGAACGCCCGUGGCGAAAGCGGGCUCCUGGACCUCGCCUGACGCUGAGACGCGAAAGCCAGGGGAGCGAACGGG
rnacentral:rRNA from 1 species